rnacentral:rRNA from 1 species
CGCCUUGCCAGCCGCUCAGAACUCAAAGGAAUUGACGGGGCCCGCACAAGCGGUGGAGCGUGUGGUUUAAUUCGAUGAUACGCGAGGAACCUUACCUGGGCUCGAACGUAAGAUGACUGUAGGUGAAAGCUUACAUCUCUUCGGAGCAUUUUACGAGGUGCUGCAUGGUUGUCGUCAGCUCGUGCCGUGAGGUGUCGGGUUAAGUCCCAUAACGAGCGCAACCCCUACCUUUAGUUGCCAUCAGGUUAAGCUGGGGACUCUAAAGGAACUGCCUACGCAAGUAGUGAGGAAGGCGGGGAUGACGUCAAAUCAGCACGGCCCUUACGUCCAGGGCUACACACGUGCUACAAUGGCCGAUACAGAGGGCAGCUACCUGGUGACAGGAUGCAAAUCUCCAAAGUCGGUCUCAGUUCGGAUCGGAGUCUGCAACCCGACUCCGUGAAGUUGGAUUCGCUAGUAAUCGCGCAUCAGCCAUGGCGCGGUGAAUACGUUCCCGGGCCUU